GACGAACGCUGGCGGCGUGCCUAAUACAUGCAAGUAGAACGCAGUUGCGAACGGGUGAGUAACGCGUAGGUAACUGCCUCAUAGCGGGGGAUAACUAUUGGAAACGAUAGCUAAUACCGCAUACUGCGAGAUGGACCUGCGUUGUAUUAGCUAGUUGGUGAGGUAAAGGGUCACCAAGGCGACGAUACAUAGCCGACCUGAGAGGGUGAUCGGCCACACUGGACGUGAGACACGGCCCAGACUCCUACGGGAGACAGCAGUAGGGAAUCUUCGGCAAUGUACGGAAGACUGACCGGGCAACGCCGCGUGAGUGAAUAAGGUUUUCGGAUCGUAAAGCUCUGUUGUUAGAGAGGCGGUGACUAACCAGAGAGGGACGGCUAACUACGUGCCAGCAGCCGCGGUAAUUC
rnacentral:rRNA from 1 species